UAUUAUUUCUUAAGUUAUAAAUCCCCCCCCCUCCCCAACUUCUGCGAGCAUCGUAUCCGCCGCUCCCAGCCCUGCAAGGCGCGGGGCAGAGCGCACCCAGCCGCUCGCCCACCUCUCGCUCCGCUCGUACGGCCGCGCGGUGCCGGCGCUGCCCGCAAAGCCCUAUCCGUCGCGGGGGCACGGCGCGUCUCGGGGCGCUGCCUCGCGGGAAGGUUCCAGAAGCGCGGCGGCGUGGCCGUGGGCGUGCGGCAUGCGCCCACCUCCUGCGGCGAUGGCUGCGGUGCGGCAGCCCCGGGAGGUGGCACGCAGAGCCCCGCGCCUGCUGCGCCCGGAGCCAUCGCGGACCGGGCAGCCGGCGGACAGCGUCGGGCUGUGCUGCUUUAUCGAGGUGCGUCCGAGCAAAGCCUGCUGCUGGAAAGUCCAAAAAAAAAAAAGAGGUGGGGAUGCUGCCUUGUGACAGUUCUUGCUCUUGUGGUACAGCAAUAGAUGCGUGUGUAGCAUCGCUGGUAAUGAGCUCUGAGCAGCAGUUCUCUGACAAACCAGGAACGCGAGGGUGUCUGCCUGAGGAGAAAUGGGAAGGGGUGUUGGAGGAGCCCUCGCAUUUCCAGCAUCGCCUUGUGAGUGCUGCCCUCCGUCCUAGCCAGGCACCUCACCAAGGUGUGAAAUACCUGCUUUAAAGCUUUUUUGUUUCAUUUUUUUUUCCUCUGAAGCUUUAUCAGGAAGGGAGUGGUUACUCAUGGAUGCGCAUUGCAGGUGUUGCUUCAGCUCCUUCCUCUCGAUGGUUCUAAUGUUAAAACACCCAGUGUGCUCCUCCUGAUUCGCUGUGUGCCUCGCGCACCCUGUUAAAGCAAGGUGACAUUGUGGGUGGUUGCGGGACCAGGCGGUGCCUGAUGGCGACGCUCACAGGGCCGCAGUAACACCUCUGCUCCCGCUGUUGCAGGUCCCAAGAUGGCCGCCGCCGCCUGGCCCCCUCCUCCUGCGGUUUGCUGCGACGCACACGAGAUGACUUUGUUCUUUGGGUGACUACUGCUAGACAGACACAUCCUGUUGUGAUAAAGGAGACCAGCUGGAUUUAGGACUGCAGCGUCGUGUUUGUGGUACGACUGACCAUAUGUGAUUUUCUGUCACGUUUGCAGCUUUCACGGUAAAUCUCUGAAGUAUUUGCACUUUGAUUCAUGUUUUUCCACUGGUUUGGUAACAAAGUAUGAGGUGGCUUUGUGCAGCUGCUUUGCACUGACACAGGUCACGCUGCAGUCUCUGCAAAGCACAGGGAAACCUCUUGCAUGCUUAGCCUUAAGAUUUGUUCGGGGCUGAUUUUUUUUUGCUUUGAUUUGUUUGGGGGUGUGUUUCCUUUUGUUGUGUUGUUGUCUUUUUGCUUGUUUUGUUUUGUUCUGAAGGAGGAAAUGACUGGGACCAGAAACUACAUUUCAUCGGGGACAUAAUUUUGAAUUCCUGCUCUGAGCGUGGUCUUUAUCUGGCUUCACCAGAACCAAAUAAUUCUGUUAAUUGUUAUUGUCUUCCUGCCUGCUCUGAGAAAUGCCUGUCUGAAGCCUCUGCAGAGUCUUGAGAACAGAAGGGUAUCUGCUUGUGAAAGAAGCCUGACAGACAGCAGAUAGAAUUUGGAGGAGUUUGGGGUCCAUUUUCCCUAAGAAGGAGCACUUUUAUUUGUUUCUAUCUGCAGUUAUGAUUUGCCCAUAAAACCUGUGGCGGAAAGGAGCCGAAGGUACCUGCAAUUUGGCUGAAGGAAGGAACCAACGUUAAUAUUUGUCUUCAGUUUUAUGGAGGCAGAGAGGGGAGGAGCAGGAGCCUCUUCACAGUCAGUGGCGUUGAGAAAUUACUGCAGCCUGAGGAGCAGUUUGCAUUUCUUGGUUGUCUGGACUUGAGAGAAGCGCGUGUAGGAGCAAAGGCCAGUGGUGGUCACAAGGAUGGAGAGGAAAAACAAAUAGGGAAAUUCCUUUUUCACUCUGUGCAAGUCUUACUUAGAACUCACAGUGACUUUAUUAUCAUCUUUAAUGGGUUGCAUUCAGCUCCUCUGAGCUACCUGGGUUACAGCCAGUGCCCAGCCCUCAAUUGACCAUUCUCCUUUUAGCCAAGUACUCACUGUGUUCGUGUCUUACAUCAGACUAUAUCUUCUGUACCUUCCCUAACACUGAACGCUUGAACAAUGGCUUAGUUGUAGUGGUCAGUGUUUGCAAAUGGCAUCUUGUGAGAGAGGGUGGCAGGAAUGGAGCAAAUGCAAUUUCUUUCCAGUACAAACUGUCGAAUUGCAGCAGCUGAGCGGGGCAGAAGUGGGGAGCAGCAGCUGCAUCCGGCACCGACGGGGAAAGUGCUCAGCAGCACCAGGUAACAAGAGACAGGCAGGGUGGAUGCUUCUUAAUCCCAUCUGAGAUUUUCAGCAUCAGCCCCUGGGCCAAGAGCUGCAGGGUGAAGGCACCCUGCUUUUGCUUUAUCUUGGACCCCUCGUUCAGGUGAGGUGCACAGCUAUGCAGGCAGUAAGAGGUGGAGAGAUUAAGACUGGUCAUUUGUCGCUUGAUUUUACUGAUGAUUCCUCUGAACAGCGAACAGGCAAUCUUGUAGCAAGCUGUAGAUUUCCACGAUGAAAGCCUGCUUGUUACAGCAUAGAUGUGAGUGUUGUGUGACAUUGCUAAAAUGGAGGGGUUAGUAUCCAAUUAUUUCUGAAAAUUGUGCCUAUAUCUGAGUGUGGGCAGCAUUAUUUAAGUUCCCCGAAAGAAAAAGGUGCACUUAAGCAUUUUGUGCUUAUUCCAGAUCUUUUUCCUUUGAGGCAAAAUUUUAAUUUUUGCAGGGCUGAAAGCUGUUUAAAUUAAAAAGGAACGGUGCAAAACAAAUGGUCAGCGCCUGUCCUGCAAGGGGCUGCACCGUGUCAGAGCGUUCAGCAAGGACCACACUGGUACUCGCCUCCAAAAGCGUGGUGAGGAAGCUGGGUUGGAUGAUCAUAGAAUCAUAGAAUGGCUUGGGUUGGAAGGGACCCCAAGGAUCAUCAAGUUCCAACCCCCUGCCACAGGCAGGGCCACCAACCUCCAGAUCUGGUACUAGACCAGGCUGCCCAGGGCCCCAUGAUGCUGGUCAUGCAGCAGAUAAUACCAGCCCUAUGCUUUAUUUUGAAGAGCUGUUCUCUGUUGCUGUAAAUCAGUUUCCUUAAAUGUACGGUUGUGGGUUAUUUUUUCCAUCAGGAAGCGCAGUUCAGUACUCCAGAAUAUUUGACCACAUGGGCACUAGGCCCUCAUCUCCCAGAUUGUAAGACAGGUUCCUUGAGGUACCACGGGGUGGGCUCUGCAGUGAACUGUAACAGCCCUGUCCUGCUGCUGUUAGUCAUGGAAAGGCUCUGACCUAUCCAAGUGUUGCACUCAAAAAGCAAAUCUGUGUGUUAUUCCUUUAAAUCAAAACAGACAGUGACAGCCCGGACUAGCACAGUGCCUACCAGAAGAGUACGUUUGCUCUGACCGCGUCUGGGAGACUAUUUGUUUUCUCAUUACUAGGAGUAUGCUGGCCCAAUGUAAAUGUCAGAGAGCUCGGCGCGUUCUGUGCAAUGAAAUGGAUAGAUCUGAAGCAGUGUCGGGUCGGAUCUGGAGCUGAGGAGCUGCAGAAGAGCGCUUGCUGCCCCAUUCCCAUCUGCAUCUGAGUGGCUCAAGGCCGUCGUCCUCAGGAGUGCGGUGACUGUACGUCCUUAGAAAGGAGGAAAUUAUUCUUCAUGAUCUAGCAGGGCUCGCAGUGCCAGCCAGCACAGGAGAGUGCAGUGCUUGCUCUGCCGCUUACUCAGCUGCUGAGGAAAUUGGACACGAGUGGAAAUUGUAAGAAAGCUUUCGAACCACGUAGAGAACAUGAAAACUGUAGCCCACAGGUUGACCGUGUAAAAUUGUGCUAAGCGAAACUGGGAGAAUACGGAAAUUGCAGAUCAGGUGCGCUCUAAGACUGUGCUGGUCUCUUUGACAGAGAGGGUAAAGACAGAAAGGCAGCAUCCAUCUCUGAUGCAGCGAGGGGAGAGAGAGCCUUGGGUUAAGUGUUCAUUUCUCACUUGCAGAGUGCAUAAUACUGGUUCUUAGUGGAAAAGGCUUUUAAAUUGGCUUCUGGGCAGCAAGUGAUGCAUACAGGAGAUUGAUUUCUUUUUUGAACUCUGCUGUACUUGGACGCAGAUUGCAAGAAAGGUUUCAUAAGGAUUUAAACAACCUUGAAAAAAGCUCGUAUCAUUUGUUUUCCUUCUCCCACCCACAGUACCAUUGUCAGGCUUCAGUGUUCCCAUGGAACGGGGAAUGUGCAGAAUGCAUUUGGCGUUAUUCUUGGUGUGACACGGUGUGCUCCGGCCAGCAUGCUCAGUCCUGCGGUGUGCAGGGAGGGACCUCUCAGCAUCUGGUCACCUUCAGCCAGCGCUGCCGAGUCACCGCUGCUCAGCACCAGCCAAAGCACAGCUUCUGCUUUCAGGCUCUUCCUAUUCCAUGUGGAAGGCUGAAUAGUAGAUUUGCAUAAAAUAUGAAUACACUGUUUUGUUUCUUGUAGCGUUGUGUAUUAAAAUUUCAGAAACUGCUCUUUAAAUAAAAGCUCUGUCAGUGUGACAUAGCUGAGACUUUACAAGUGCAGGCACGUGCAGAGGUGUCAAAUUCAUCUCCAUUUCGUGCAGCAGCUACAUUAUAGAACCUGGGAGGUCUCCCCUUACUGCACUUGUUUGUAGCUUCUUUGCCUAGGGACUGGUUAUGACCCCACCUCCCAUCUCCUCAGUGAAAAAUCGGUGCCUGAGGUUUCCUUUGGAUUAAAUGGGGAAGCACAGGGGUAACUCCCUUCAUCAGAAAGGUGGGAAUUUUUGUCUCCACAUCAAACCUGCUUCAGAACUAUUAAAAAGGAGCAGUUUCUCCCUGGAGAUGUGCCAUGCUCCACAUUGCUUGCUUUCUCUCUCCCUGGUUUGCUUACAGACUCCUGCAUUUGAUCCUCACCACAGACACGGUCCCAAGCUGGAUCACAGAAGCUCUGCUUUCUUUUGAGCUCUGGUUGCUAAGGAAAGUCUGUCAUGCACAUAGUGGAUUUGAGUGUUUGCCUGUUGUUUGCUUGUGUCUCGAUGAGUUAGCAGUCCAUGAGGUGAUGCUGGUAUCCCACCGAGAACGACCCGACCAUUGCAACCAAGUCACUGUACUACACGUGCAGCAUUUUGAGGGAAAUCAGUCUGAAGCCUUUAUAUCAUCUUUACUAGUCAGCAGUGAAUUGCAUCUCUCAACUUCUGCACAUCCCUGAGGGACAGGGCCUGCAGACUGGGUCUCCCUCGGUUCCAGCAGGACCCUUAGGCAGCACCCCACGUGCCACCACCCUGAGCAGCUCCUGGGGACAGGCCAGGCACGUGCUGGUGUCCCACCUGCGGUAGGCAGGACAUGUGCUGAGGGGUGUGAGGCUGAACAGCAGCACAGUGCCCAGGAGGCCGCACGAUCCCCACGGCACCGUUCUCCUUCCGACAGCAUCCUGGCAUCAGUGAAAAAGCAGCAGCCUGUUUCUUUGUGUUGUCUUGGGGCUCAGCUGAGUUUCUAGGUUACGUCCCCUGCCUGCGAGCCUCCAUCUCUCCUGAGAUGAACACAGGACGUGGAUAGCGAGGAUGCAGCUCAACCCGCAUCACACUGUAGCAACCAGUGCUACAGUGCAGUAGAUCUCAAGUGCAGCACCUGUCCGCCACUUCUGGGGAGAGAAGUUCACCCGUCGCGCUUCAGUGUCAUUGUAAACAGGUGGGAGCGUGCAACCUGUGGGAUCGACAGACCUAACCCUCUCUUUGCUUUCCAGGAUGAGGAUGGAGCACGGAGGACGCAGGGCCCCGCCAGGUGCCGUGCAGCAGCUGGUGUUGUGAAUCAGGCCGUCACCAGUCGGAGAACGGCUACUUCACAACACCAGGGUGGCACUGCACCACGCCUCGACGCCGGCCAGAGGAGCAGCGAGGGUCCCAGCAUGGGCACGGCCAGGGGAGCCCAGACCCGCAAAGGUAAUCAGCCGCUCUACUCCUCUUUAGGUAACCAGCCUCCCAUGGAAGUCUGGAAUAGAAUUUAGGCCCCUAAACAUCUCUGCAGGCCCGGCCCUUAGGCUCUGCCUUGUGUGCUGUGUGAAUGGGGAAGAGGCAUGGAAGGCAGUGGGGUGAGCAGCCUCUCUCUCCCAGCAGAGAUGGCUCUGGUCCCUGCGUGUGGCUGGUCCUGGUCCCUGCCCUGCUGGAACACCUAAUUCCGUGUUUUCUGUAAAGAAUGCUGUAGCUACACUGCUUGGAAAUGAUACUAAGGCUGCCUGGUUCUGAUCUUUGGAAGCAGCUGCCUGCUCUGGGGUGCGGGACAGUGGGGGCUUCUCACUGGUGAGGCUUUCCCUUCCUCCUGCCCCAGGUAAGACUGGCUGUGUGCUCCUCCAUGUUGGCCGCCAGCUCUCCCAUCUGUCAUGAACAUUUGCAUGUGGGUAAAGCUAAGAGAAAAGGAAGAGAGCAAACAAUUGAAGUAGCAUAGAAGCGAUUAAGGACUUGAAAGUUUUCUUUUCUUGUUAUCAUAACUCAUUAGAUUGAAGCCAGUAGUAUAAACUACCUCAGUCUCAUCCUGGAUAUGUGAUGCUGGCAGGAAUGUAAUUGUAGGGGAGAGUCAGAAUACACACGAGAUCAGAAAUAGCAUGCGACAGCCUGGAAAUGCACGUGCACAGAGGCACAUGGGUGGCUGCAUCAGACGCGUCCUCAUCUUCCCCUUCAGUAGGGCUCCCUACAGAAGCAACCCCGAGUUCUCUCUGUAGUGAAAAUCCCUCAGCCAACACUGUGAAGGGCAUAGGGGCUGUAUGAGAGGCUUCUCAUGCAUUAGGAGAGGGCAGCCCAAUCUUGCAGGUUAGCACUGCUGUUUUUACAUUGAUUAGAGAGAGAUGAGAGGCCGUGUUUGGUGUUCAGGCACUAUGGCAGGAAUUUGUCAACCUGACGUGUAAGAAGUCUGUUUUAUUAAACUUGUCUUCUGCUAACA